rnacentral:rRNA from 1 species
UACGUAGGGGGCAAGCGUUGUUCGGAAUUACUGGGCGUAAAGGGCGCGUAGGCGGUACGACAAGUCGGGAGUGAAAGCCCGGGGCUCAACCCCGGGACUGCUUUCGAAACUGUCGAACUCGAGUGCAGAAGAGGCAACUGGAAUUCCCAGUGUAGCGGUGAAAUGCGUAGAUAUUGGGAAGAACACCUGAGGCGAAGGCGGGUUGCUGGGCUGACACUGACGCUGAGGCGCGAAAGCCAGGGGAGCGAACGGG